rnacentral:rRNA from 1 species
GGGUUGUGAGGUUAAGCGACUAAGCGUACACGGUGGAUGCCCUGGCAGUCAGAGGCGAUGAAGGACGUGCUAAUCUGCGAAAAGCGUCGGUAAGGUGAUAUGAACCGUUAUAACCGGCGAUGUCCGAAUGGGGAAACCCAGUGUGAUUCGUCACACUAUCGUUAACUGAAUACAUAGGUUAACGAGGCGAACCGGGGGAACUGAAACAUCUAAGUACCCCGAGGAAAAGAAAUCAACCGAGAUUCCCCCAGUAGCGGCGAGCGAACGGGGAGCAGCCCAGAGUCUGAAUCAGCUUGUGUGUUAGUGGAACGGUCUGGAAAGUCCGACGGUACAGGGUGAUAGUCCCGUACACCAAAAUGCACAGGCUGUGAACUCGAAGAGUAGGGCGGGACACGUGGUAUCCUGUCUGAAUAUGGGGGGACCAUCCUCCAAGGCUAAAUACUCCUGACUGACCGAUAGUGAACCAGUACCGUGAGGGAAAGGCGAAAAGAACCCCGGCGAGGGGAGUGAAAAAGAACCUGAAACCGUGUACGUACAAGCAGUGGGAGCACCUUCGGGUGUGACUGCGUACCUUUUGUAUAAUGGGUCAGCGACUUAUAUUCUGUAGCAAGGUUAACCGUAUAGGGGAGCCGCAGGGAAACCGAGUCUUAACUGGGCGUUAAGUUGCAGGGUAUAGACCCGAAACCCGGUGAUCUAGCCAUGGGCAGGUUGAAGGUUGGGUAACACUAACUGGAGGACCGAACCGACUAAUGUUGAAAAAUUAGCGGAUGACUUGUGGCUGGGGGUGAAAGGCCAAUCAAACCGGGAGAUAGCUGGUUCUCCCCGAAAGCUAUUUAGGUAGCGCCUCGUGAACUCAUCUUCGGGGGUAGAGCACUGUUUCGGCUAGGGGGUCAUCCCGACUUACCAACCCGAUGCAAACUACGAAUACCGAAGAAUGUUAUCACGGGAGACACACGGCGGGUGCUAACGUCCGUCGUGAAGAGGGAAACAACCCAGACCGCCAGCUAAGGUCCCAAAGUCAUGGUUAAGUGGGAAACGAUGUGGGAAGGCACAGACAGCCAGGAUGUUGGCUUAGAAGCAGCCAUCAUUUAAAGAAAGCGUAAUAGCUCACUGGUCGAGUCGGCCUGCGCGGAAGAUGUAACGGGGCUAAACCAUGCACCGAAGCUGCGGCAGCGACACUAUGUGUUGUUGGGUAGGGGAGCGUUCUGUAAGCCUGCGAAGGUGACCUGUGAGGGUUGCUGGAGGUAUCAGAAGUGCGAAUGCUGACAUAAGUAACGAUAAAGCGGGUGAAAAGCCCGCUCGCCGGAAGACCAAGGGUUCCUGUCCAACGUUAAUCGGGGCAGGGUGAGUCGACCCCUAAGGCGAGGCCGAAAGGCGUAGUCGAUGGGAAACAGGUUAAUAUUCCUGUACUUGGUGUUACUGCGAAGGGGGGACGGAGAAGGCUAUGUUAGCCGGGCGACGGUUGUCCCGGUUUAAGCAUGUAGGCUGAUUAUCCAGGCAAAUCCGGAUAAUCAAGGCUGAGGUGUGAUGACGAGGCACUACGGUGCUGAAGUAACAAAUGCCCUGCUUCCAGGAAAAGCCUCUAAGCAUCAGGUAACAUCAAAUCGUACCCCAAACCGACACAGGUGGUCAGGUAGAGAAUACCAAGGCGCUUGAGAGAACUCGGGUGAAGGAACUAGGCAAAAUGGUGCCGUAACUUCGGGAGAAGGCACGCUGGUGUGUAGGUGAAGCCCCUGCGGGUGGAGCUGAGACCAGUCGAAGAUACCAGCUGGCUGCAACUGUUUAUUAAAAACACAGCACUGUGCAAACACGAAAGUGGACGUAUACGGUGUGACGCCUGCCCGGUGCCGGAAGGUUAAUUGAUGGGGUUAUCCGUAAGGAGAAGCUCUUGAUCGAAGCCCCGGUAAACGGCGGCCGUAACUAUAACGGUCCUAAGGUAGCGAAAUUCCUUGUCGGGUAAGUUCCGACCUGCACGAAUGGCGUAAUGAUGGCCAGGCUGUCUCCACCCGAGACUCAGUGAAAUUGAACUCGCUGUGAAGAUGCAGUGUACCCGCGGCAAGACGGAAAGACCCCGUGAACCUUUACUAUAGCUUGACACUGAACAUUGAGCCUUGAUGUGUAGGAUAGGUGGGAGGCUUUGAAGCGUGGACGCCAGUCUGCGUGGAGCCAACCUUGAAAUACCACCCUUUAAUGUUUGAUGUUCUAACGUUGGCCCCUUACCGGGGUUGCGGACAGUGUCUGGUGGGUAGUUUGACUGGGGCGGUCUCCUCCCAAAGCGUAACGGAGGAGCACGAAGGUUAGCUAAUCCUGGUCGGACAUCAGGAGGUUAGUGCAAUGGCAUAAGCUAGCUUGACUGCGAGCGUGACGGCGCGAGCAGGUGCGAAAGCAGGUCAUAGUGAUCCGGUGGUUCUGAAUGGAAGGGCCAUCGCUCAACGGAUAAAAGGUACUCCGGGGAUAACAGGCUGAUACCGCCCAAGAGUUCAUAUCGACGGCGGUGUUUGGCACCUCGAUGUCGGCUCAUCACAUCCUGGGGCUGAAGUAGGUCCCAAGGGUAUGGCUGUUCGCCAUUUAAAGUGGUACGCGAGCUGGGUUUAGAACGUCGUGAGACAGUUCGGUCCCUAUCUGCCGUGGGCGCUGGAGAAUUGAGGGGGGCUGCUCCUAGUACGAGAGGACCGGAGUGGACGCAUCACUGGUGUUCGGGUUGUCAUGCCAAUGGCACUGCCCGGUAGCUAAAUGCGGAAGAGAUAAGUGCUGAAAGCAUCUAAGCACGAAACUUGCCCCGAGAUGAGUUCUCCCUGAGACUUUAAGUCUCCUGAAGGAACGUUGAAGACGAUGACGUUGAUAGGCCGGGUGUGUAAGCGCAGCGAUGCGUUGAGCUAACCGGUACUAAUGAACCGUGAGGCUUAACCUUACAACGCCGAAG